AUUGAACGCUGGCGGCAUGCCUAACACAUGCAAGUCGAACGAGUGGCGGACGGGUGAGUAACGUCUGGGAAACUGCCUGAUGGAGGGGGAUAACUACUGGAAACGGUAGCUAAUACCGCAUACCAUCAGAUGUGCCCAGCGGGGAUUAGCUCGUUGGUGGGGUAACGGCUCACCAGGGCGACGAUCCCUAGCGGGUCUGAGAGGAUGACCAGCAAAACGGGAACGGAGACACGGUCCAGACUCCUACGGGGGGCAGAAGUGGGGAAUAUUGGACAAGGGGCGCAAGCCUGAUGCAGCCAUGCCGGGUGUAUGAAGAAGGCCUUCGGGUGGAAAAGUACUUUCAGCGGGGAGGCGUUACCCGCAGAAGAAGCACCGGCUAACUCCGUGCCAGCAGCCGCGGUAAUAC
rnacentral:rRNA from 1 species